CGCGGACCGAGGCACUAACCCGUAUCCCCUGCAUCGGCAGGCGGACUCUCAACCACUGCGCCACCAGGGAAGCCCUAAAAAGCAUUUUUAUAGUGAGUCUGUUCCCUGCUCCUGCCUGCCUCCCAUCUAAUCCUUUGCUUAGGGAGCGACUUUUGAAGUCAAUGAUGAUGCCAGAUUUGGAAGAAUUCUAGAGGCAUGUGUUUGGGGACCAGCGCGGAUGAGAAUCAUAUUGGAUCUGCAGACGGGCACUGGAAUAAAACUGGCCUCGUUCAACUGUUCGUGCAAUUCUUCCAGCAAUGGAGUUAUCACUUCACUUUUCAUGUGUCCAAAAGGAAACUUGGAACUGAAGUGGGCGAAUUUAAUGAAGAAGAACAAACAUUUGAGAGUCAGAGAAUUCAGAUGUGAAAGAGACCUGAAUAAGAACCUUCUCCAGUGUUCCUGAGACGGCGUACUGGACUACGCUGAAAAAAGAAUGCUGAUUCCUGCUCCAUUUGAUGUGAAACAAAAACACACAAAUCUCAGCAAGUAGGAUUAGAUGGGAGUUUCCUUAACCUUAUAUACUGCAUCUACAAAAAACCUACGACUAACAUCAUACUUACUGGUGAAAGUCUGGAUGUUUACGCUACCAUCUAAGAUCAGAAAAAAGCAUGAAUGUCCACACUCCCUGCUUCUAUUCAUCAUUGUAUCAGAAGUUCCUGUCAGUUAAAUAAGCCCUGACUCUCUCAACAUCCUUAUAUUCACAUUGUGCUGGAAUUCCUGCUCUUCUUCUGACAAGUUGUUAGCUACUUGCUGUGGACUCCUCUCCAUCAUGUGAAAUGCUCCCAGCCAGUAAGAUCUAGACCAAAGCCAUCUCCUCUAUAAGCACCUCGAGUACAUGGCUCCUACUUUUGGACUGAUGUGGGCCAGCUAUGAUCAGAAGCAUUGUGUUUCUAAACUGGACCCCCAUAAAAACAUCCUUUUGGACCUUAAAAGACAACUACCCCAAGGAGAAGACAAAGCAGAGAGUAAAAUCAAAAAGUGGAAGUGAGGCAUAUACCAUGACUGCUGGGAC